ensembl:lncRNA
AUUUUGGAGUUGACAGAUGCAUUAAAACUAAGCAGCUUGGUCCACCAGUCUUCGCACAACUGCAUCACUUCGCGGACGCGAGUGAGGAUGCUUAUGGAACAACAAGCUAUCUGCUACUUUGUACUGCAUCUGGAGAAGCUCAAUCCACCCUGAUGAUGGCAAAGGCCAGGGUUGCACCUUUAAAGUCUCCAACCAUACCAAGAAUGGAACUAACUGCAGCUACAGUUGCAGUCAAGAUGGACAAGAUUCUGAAAAAAGAGCUUGAACUGGAACUUCAUGAAUCAAUCUUUUGGACAGAUAGCACGGCUGUGCUUAAAUACUUGAACAGCGAGCGUACAAGAUUCAAGACCUUCGUUGCAAAUAGAAUAUCAGAAAUCCUGCAGCACUCACAGACUUCACAGUGGAGAUACGUCAAUACCACUCUGAAUCCCGCUGACCAUGUCUCAAGAGGACAGACUGCUGAAGCAUUUUUGAAGUUGGGAUGCUGGCUUUCAGGACCAGAUUUCUUGCUCCAUACAGAAGAUCAGUGGCCAAAUAAUCCAGAUCCUGGAAUGGUUGAUAUCGACGACUCUGAGGUCAAAAGAGUAGCUCAAAUGCACGUCAUUCAGGUGCAAGACUCAACAGAUCCAGUGGACCAGUUGAUGAGCCACUUCUCAUCCUGGACAAAGCUCAAACGUGCUGUUGCCUGGCUUCUGAAGCUGAAAGGGUUGCUUAAAGAGCUGAAAGCAAAGAGAAAGGAACCUAACACAUUAUGUGGAGAAAGCAAAGUGGAGCAGUUCAAGAAGGCUUACAAAGGAACAAACCUUACAUGUGACAAUUUGUUAGAAGCUGAAACAGAAAUCCUUAAGUACUGUCAGAAGCAAAGAUUUGAGGACGACUUGACAAUGCUGAAGGAACAUCACAGAGUGAAGAAAGGUAGCUCACUUUAUAAGCUGAAUCCAGUUCUUCAAGAAGGAGUCAUGAGGGUUGGAGGAAGGUUGAGCAGAGCGGCGAUGCCAGAUCAUUCUAAACAGCCAGCCAUCCUGCCAAAGCAUUCACACAUCACAAGGCUUGUGUUGAGACACAUUCAUGACAUUACAGCUCACGCCGGAAGGAACCACAUGUUGGCCCAACUACGUCAACGGUUCUGGAUACCUGGAGCUAAUGGAGCCAUCAGAACUUUCCUGUCCAAGUGCGUAAUCUGUAAGAAGUUACAUGGAUCAGCUGGAAAACAACUCAUGGCAGAUCUACCAACAUGCAGAGUUCUGCCUGAUGAGCCUCCAUUCACACGAGUUGGCGUUGAUUAUUUCGGCCCGUUCCUGGUGAAGAGAGGUAGGGUGCAAGUAAAGAAGUACGGUGUCAUCUUUACCUGUCUCGCCAUACGAGCUGUGCAUCUAGAAGUUGCCACUUCUCUUGACACUGAUGCAUGCCUCAACGCAAUUAGGAGGUUCAUUGCCAGAAGAGGACAAGUCAGAGAGAUGUACUCGGAUAACGGAACCAACUUUCAGUCGGCUGACAGUGAGUUGAAGAAAUCAAUCAAAGAAUGGAAUACCAGCCAGAUCGUAAACAAAAUGCAACACAAAGGUGUUCAGUGGCACUUCAAUCCUCCAGCAGGGUCGCACCAUGGAGGAAGCUGGGAGCGGUUGAUCCGUUCAGUGAGAAAGAUUCUGAACGUCACCGUGAAGGAACAACUUUUGGAUGAAGAAGGUCUCCAUACGUUGCUGUGUGAGGCUGAGGCUGUCAUAAACAGCAGGCCCAUCACAAAGCCAUCUUCAGACCUCAACGAUUUAGAGGCCUUAACACCCAAUCACCUGUUGUUACUCAAGGUCAAGCCCGAGUUACCUCCAGGAGUAUUCAACAAGGACGAUCAAUAUGCUAACCGCAGAUGGAGACAGGUCCAGUAUCUUUCGGACGUCUUCUGGAAACGAUGGUGCAAGGAGUACCUGACACAGCUUCAAGAACGCCAACGGUGGUCCACUCCUGGAAGAAACUUCUGCGUCGGCGAUGUGGUGCUGAUUGUGGACGACACAUCUCCCAGAAAUUCAUGGCCUCUUGGGAGGAUCCUGGAGACUUUUCCGGACAAGAAAGGCUUUGUCCGUCAGGUUAAAGUCAAGACCAAGACCAAUGAGUUUUGUCGCCCGAUAACAAAGCUAUGUUUGCUCCAAGAAUCGGAUGACAAUAAUGGACUGUUCUAAAGACUGUUCUGAAGUCAAGUCCUCAUGCCAUGGAGUGAAGAACAAGAUGAUAUCCUUUGAUGUUCGUGUUCAAUAUAAUAUGUAUCAUACCAUGUAGGCUCCUUUAAUUUAAUCUGAGUUAUUUGGGUAAUUGUUUCAAAGAGAUUGAUAACAAUUAGGGGCCGGUAAUGUAGGCGCCUAAAUGCCUAUUCGCUUUAU